GACGAACGCUGGCGGCGUGCUUAACACAUGCAAGUCGAACGGAAAGGCCCUGCUUUUGUGGGGUGCUCGAGUGGCGAACGGGUGAGUAACACGUGAGUAACCUGCCCUUGACUUUGGGAUAACUUCAGGAAACUGGGGCUAAUACCGGAUAGGAGCUCCUGCUGCAUGGUGGGGGUUGGAAAGUUUCGGCGGUUGGGGAUGGACUCGCGGCUUAUCAGCUUGUUGGUGGGGUAGGGGCUUACCAAGGCUUUGACGGGUAGCCGGCCUGAGAGGGUGACCGGCCACAUGGGGAAUGAGUUACGGACCAAACUCCUACGGGGGGGAGAAGUGGGGAAUAUUGUACAAUGGACAGAAGAGUAAAGCGGCAACGCAGCGUGGGGGAUGAGGGCGUUCAGGUUGUAAACCGCUUUCGCCUGUGACGAGGCGUGAGUGACGGUAAUGGGUAAAGAAGCACCGGCUAACUACGUG
rnacentral:rRNA from 1 species